rnacentral:rRNA from 1 species
AACGAACGCUGGCGGCAUGCCUAACACAUGCAAGUCGAACGAGACCUUCGGGUCUAGUGGCGCACGGGUGCGUAACGCGUGGGAACCUGCCCUUAGGUUCGGAAUAACUCCCCGAAAGGGGUGCUAAUACCGGAUAAUGUCUUCGGACCAAAGAUUUAUCGCCUUUGGAUGGGCCCGCGUUGGAUUAGCUAGUUGGUAGGGUAAAAGCCUACCAAGGCGACGAUCCAUAGCUGGUCUGAGAGGAUGAUCAGCCACACUGGGACUGAGACACGGCCCAGACUCCUACGGAAGGCAGCAGUGGGGAAUAUUGGACAAUGGGCGAAAGCCUGAUCCAGCAAUGCCGCGUGAGUGAUGAAGGCCUUAGGGUUGUAAAGCUCUUUUACCCGGAUGAUAAUGACAGUACCGGGAGAAUAAGCUCCGGCUAACUCCGU